rnacentral:rRNA from 1 species
GACGAACGCUGGCGGCGUGCCUAAUACAUGCAAGUUGAACGCAACAAAGACACCAGAGCUUGCUCUACCGUCUUUGUUGAGUAGCGAACGGGUGAGUAACGCGUGGGUAACCUGCCUUAUAGCGGGGGAUAACUAUUGGAAACGAUAGCUAAUACCGCAUAACAAUAGAGAUUGCAUAAUCUUAUUUGAAAGUGCCAACUGGUACACUAUGAGAUGGACCCGCGUUGUAUUAGCUAGUUGGUAGUGUAAUGGACUACCAAGGCGAUGAUACAUAGCCGACCUGAGAGGGUG